UACGGAGGGGGCUAGCGUUGUUCGGAAUUACUGGGCGUAAAGCGCACGUAGGCGGCUUUGUAAGUUAGAGGUGAAAGCCCGGGGCUCAACUCCGGAAUUGCCUUUAAGACUGCAUCGCUAGAAUUGUGGAGAGGUAAGUGGAAUUCCGGGUGUAGUGGUGAAAUGCGUAGAGAUCCGGAGGAACACCAGUGGCGAAGGCGACACGCUGGGCCGUACCUGACACUGAUGCGCGACAGCAUGGGGAGCAAACAGG
rnacentral:rRNA from 1 species